AGCAGCCGCGGUAAUUCCAGCUCCAAUAGCGUAUAUUAAAGUUGUUGCAGUUAAAAAGCUCGUAGUUGAAUUUCGGGAUCAAUUCGUCGGUCGUGCCUCUGGUACGCACUGGUUUUAUUGGUUUCUCCCUUCUGACGAACCAUGAUGUCAUUAAUUUGGUGUCAUGGGGAAUCAGGACUGUUACUUUGAAAAAAUUAGAGUGUUUAAAGCAGGCUUACGCUUGAAUACAUUAGCAUGGAAUAAUGAAAUAGGACGCUUGACCCUAUUUUGUUGGUUUCUAGGAUCGACGUAAUGAUUAAUAGGGAUAGUUGGGGGCAUUAGUAUUCAAUUGUCAGAGGUGAAAUUCUUGGAUUAUUGAAGACUAACUACUGCGAAAGCAUUUGCCAAGGAUGUUUUCAUUAAUCAAGAACGAAAGUUAGGGGAUCGAAGACGAUCAGAUACCGUCGUAGUCUUAACCAUAAACUAUGCCGACUAGGGAUCGGAUGAUGUUAAUUUUUUAAUGACUCAUUCGGCGCCUUAC
rnacentral:rRNA from 1 species